rnacentral:rRNA from 1 species
GACGAACGCUGGCGGCGUGCUUAACACAUGCAAGUCGAACGGAAAGGCCCUGCUUUUGUGGGGUGCUCGAGUGGCGAACGGGUGAGUAACACGUGAGUAACCUGCCCUUGACUUUGGGAUAACUUCAGGAAACUGGGGCUACUACCGGAUAGGAGCUCCUGCUGCAUGGUGGGGGUUGGAAAGUUUCGGCGGUUGGGGAUGGACUCGCGGCUUAUCAGCUUGUUGGUGGGGUAGUGGCUUACCAAGGCUGUGACGGGUAGCCGGCCUGAGAGGGUGACCGGGCACAUUGGGACUGAGAUACGGCCCAGACUCCUACGGGAGGCAGCAGUGGGGAAUAUUGCACAAUGGGCGGAAGCCUGAUGCAGCAACGCCGCGUGCGGGAUGACGGUCUUCGGGUUGUAAACCGCUUUCGCCUGUGACGAAGCGUGAGUGACGGUAAUGGGUAAAGAAGCACCGGCUAACUACGUG